rnacentral:rRNA from 1 species
AGGCUGCAACUCGCCUACAUGAAGUCGGAAUCGCUAGUAAUCGCGGAUCAGCACGCCGCGGUGAAUACGUUCCCGGGCCUUGUACACACCGCCCGUCACACCACGAGAGUUUGUAACACCCGAAGUCGGUGAGGUAACCUAUUAGGAGCCAGCCGCCUAAGGUGGGAUAGAUGAUUGGGGUNAAGUCGUAACAAGGUAGC